rnacentral:rRNA from 1 species
AAUCAACGCUGGCGGCGUGCCUAAUACAUGCAAGUCGAACGCGAAAGUCCCGCAAGGGAUUAGUAGAGUGGCAAACGGGUGAGUAACACGUGGGUGACCUGCCUUCGAGCGGGGGAUAACGUUCCGAAAGGGACGCUAAUACCGCAUGACAUCCUGCCUUUGAACAGGUGGAGAUUAAAGCUGGGGAUCGCAAGACCUAGCGCUUGAAGAGGGGCCCGCGCCCGAUUAGCUAGUUGGUGGGGUAACGGCUCACCAAGGCAACGAUCGGUA